rnacentral:lncRNA from 1 species
AGACCUGCUGCCAGCCUAUGCCUAAGGCUUGGCCAUGCCUUGGCCAAGCCUUUGGCCCUACAUGGGCCAUGAACACCCCAUGCCUUAGCCACCCUUGGGCACACUAGAAAGGCUAUAAAUGAGCCUUGGGGGGGAUCAUUUUGGGGAUCUUAUGAUAUAUCUUACAUCUUAGCACUUGUUGUGUUUUCGACCUUAGUGGCUUGGGAGGGACCUUGUCUCUUGUAUUCGGUCUUGGGGUUUGUCCAAGACUUGGGCUAGGGGAAACCCAUCAUAGUUUCCUCUAGAUAUUUUGUGUAAGCUUCAUUUUGGGAAAUAGAAACAAUCAAGCGUUCCUCUACCUAUAUCUCCACAUAUCUUCUUGUGUUUGAUUGUCUUCUUCUCAAGUCAAGGGUCGGGUCAAGCUGCAGCCAGUAGGCCCUCCCCUUGCCUUGGUUCCCACGGUCACUUAAGAGCUUGGCGCAACGCGGCACAAGCACGAACCAUCACGGCGUUACCCGAUCGGCCCAUUUCUUACAACUCUAAGUCAUUCGCAAGGAAGCGAUCGUGCAAGACUUGGUGUGGUGGCUUGGGGCCGAAAGCCACCCUCCAACAAUGGUGCUUUCAUUGAGAGAUUUCAUCGAGAGAAUUUCCUAGAGAAGCUCCGUCGAAGAUCUCUCGUCCUAAGAGGUAACGCCUACAACCCUAACAAAAUUUCAAAUUCUAUAGUGGGUUGGGUUAAGUUGUUUAACAUAUCGUUGCAUGCCUAGUAGUGAAGUUUACUUACUACCUUCAUAUUUUUUGUUGCAUGUGAUUGGGGGUACAUUAGAAGUUUAUUAUGCAUGCAUCGGGUACUUAAAUUUUAGCAACUUAUCAUUCUUAUUUGCAAAAGAGGAGUGAGCAUUUUUUUGUGAAAGAGAACGGAUUGAUCUCUACCUUGCUCAUCAUAGGGAUGGUGCUAAUGGAGAGGCUAAUGGUAGUACCCGGCACUAUUUGACCCAACUAUUCGGUGUAGGGUACAUUAGGGACGGCACAAGAGGGAGGCUAGUGGUAGUACCUCGUGCCCUUUCCCAACUACAUCGGGUAGGGAGCAAAUCGAGUUUCAAAACGUCUCUCUUGGGAGAAAGAGAGAGUUUUAAUUGUUGUAAAUCUUUGUUGUAAUCGGAGGCGAUCGAGUGGUGUAUCUUUUGAAUAUAUAAGAAGGAGGGUCGGUUCAUCCCUUGGGUGACGGCCAAAGGAGGUUAGGAGUGAUGAUGAGGGAUGAGAAUGCACGGCUUGAGGCCUUAGAGGGGAGUUCUCAACACCUAAAUCAAACCCUUGAAAGUC